rnacentral:misc_RNA from 1 species
AAAAAACAUCACCGACAAAAAUAAAGCCAUUAAACCCGAAUACUAUCGGACCCAAAAAAAGUGUUUGAUCUAACCCGAAUUAAAGUCAAAUUAAUACACUGAGAGAGACGAAAAUGAUUGAUCAUUGCAAUUGUAUUGAUAUUAUCGCGAGAAAAUUAAAAAGAGCCUUCGAAGUAGGAUCUGCUAACGCGGCGUAGAUUAUGU